UACGUAGGAGGCAAGCGUUGUCCGGAAUUACUGGGCGUAAAGCGCGUGUAGGUGGUGGGACAAGUCUGCUGUGAAAGUGCCUGGCUUAACCGGGCGAGGUCGGCGGAAACUGUCCGACUCGAGGACGGUAGAGGGGGGUGGAAUUCCCGGUGUAGUGGUGAAAUGCGUAGAGAUCGGGAGGAACACCAGUGGCGAAGGCGGCUACCUGGACCAGCACUGACACUGAGGCACGAAAGCGUGGGGAGCAAACAGG
rnacentral:rRNA from 1 species